AUUGAACGCUGGCGGCAGGCCUAACACAUGCAAGUCGAACGAGUGGCGGACGGGUGAGUAAUGUCUGGGAAACUGCCUGAUGGAGGGGGAUAACUACUGGAAACGGUAGCUAAUACCGCAUACCAUCAGAUGUGCCCAGAUGGGAUUAGCUUGUUGGGGGGGUAACGGCUCACCAAGGCGACGAUCCCUAGCUGGUCUGAGAGGAUGACCGGCAACACGGGAACUGGGACACGGUCAAGACUCCUACGGGAGGCAGAAGUGGGGAAUAUGGCACAAUGGGCGCGAGCCUGAUGCAGACAUGCCGCGUGUAUGAAGAAGGCCUUCGGGUUGUAAAGUACUUUAAGCGGGGAGGCGUGACCCGCAGAAGAAGCAACGGCGAACUCCGUGCCAGCAGCCGCGGUAAUU
rnacentral:rRNA from 1 species